AUGAACGCUGGCGGCGUGCCUAAUACCUGCAAGUCGAGCGAACGGACGAGAAGCUUGCUUCUCUGAUGUUAGCGGCGGACGGGUGAGUAACACGUGGAUAACCUACCUAUAAGACUGGGAUAACUUCGGGAAACCGGAGCUAAUACCGGAUAAUAUUUUGAACCGCAUGGUUCAAAAGUGAAAGACGGUCUUGCUGUCACUUAUAGAUGGAUCCGCGCUGCAUUAGCUAGUUGGUAAGGUAACGGCUUACCAAGGCAACGAUGCAUAGCCGACCUGAGAGGGUGUUCGGCCACACUGGAACUGAGACACGGUCCAGACUCCUACGGGAGGCAGCAGUAGGGAAUCUUCCGCAAUGGGCGAAAGCCUGACGGAGCAACGCCGCGUGAGUGAUGAAGGUCUUCGGAUCGUAAAACUCUGUUAUUAGGGAAGAACAUAUGUGUAAGUAACUGUGCACAUCUUGACGGUACCUAAUCAGAAAGCCACGGCUAACUACGUG
rnacentral:rRNA from 1 species